UACGUAGGGUGCAAGCGUUAUCCGGAAUUAUUGGGCGUAAAGAGCUCGUAGGCGGUUUGUCGCGUCUGCUGUGAAAACUGGAGGCUCAACCUCCAGCCUGCAGUGGGUACGGGCAGACUAGAGUGCGGUAGGGGAGAUUGGAAUUCCUGGUGUAGCGGUGGAAUGCGCAGACAUCAGGAGGAACACCGAUGGCGAAGGCAGAUCUCUGGGCCGUAACUGACGCUGAGGAGCGAAAGCAUGGGGAGCGAACAGG
rnacentral:rRNA from 1 species